UCAGGUGGCCGGGCGGCUGCUCCGUUUGUUCGGCGCGUAUUUGCCGGCGGAGAGGAAAGUCCGGGCUCCAUGGAAACACGGUGCCGGGUAACGCCCGGCGGGAGCGAUCCCAGGGAAAGUGCCACAGAAAGCAAACCGCCGUUCAUCGCCCAUCCGGUUCGCCGGAUGCGGGUGUGAGCGGCAAGGGUGAAAGGGUGCGGUAAGAGCGCACCGCGCGCCUGGCAACAGGGGCGGUCACGGCAAACCCCACCGGGAGCAAGACCGAAUAGGGAUGGCGCGGAGCUUCGUGCCCCAGGCCUGUUUCCAGGCUGCCGUCCGGGUUGGUUGCAUGAGGUGUCCGGCAACGGGCACCCAAGAUGAAUGGUCGCCUGUCCGGCGGUGCGUCCGCGUGCCGCCGGAUGACAGAACCCGGCUUACAGGCCAGCUGACAUC
rnacentral:RNase_P_RNA from 1 species